rnacentral:rRNA from 1 species
UUCCAGACUCCUACGGGAGGCAGCAGUGGGGAAUAUUGGGCAAUGGGCGCAAGCCUGACCCAGCAACGCCGCGUGAAGGAAGAAGGCUUUCGGGUUGUAAACUUCUUUUAAGAGGGAAGAGUAGAAGACGGUACCUCUUGAAUAAGCCACGGCUAACUACGUGCCAGCAGCCGCGGUAAUACGUAGGGAGCAAGCGUUGUCCGGAAUUACUGGGUGUAAAGGGAGCGUAGGCGGGAUGGCAAGUUGGGUGUUAAAUCUACCGGCUCAACUGGUAGUCGCACUCAAAACUGCUAUUCUUGAGUGAAGUAGAGGCAGGCGGAAUUCCUAGUGUAGCGGUGAAAUGCGUAGAUAUUAGGAGGAACACCAGUGGCGAAGGCGGCCUGCUGGGCUUUUACUGACGCUGAGGCUCGAAAGUGUGGGGAGCAAACAGGAUUAGAUACCCCUGUA